AUUGAACGCUGGCGGCAGGCCUAACACAUGCAAGUCGAGCGGAUGAAGGGAGCUUGCUCCUGGAUUCAGCGGCGGACGGGUGAGUAAUGCCUAGGAAUCUGCCUGGUAGUGGGGGAUAACGUCCGGAAACGGGCGCUAAUACCGCAUACGUCCUGAGGGAGAAAGUGGGGGAUCUUCGGACCUCACGCUAUCAGAUGAGCCUAGGUCGGAUUAGCUAGUUGGUGGGGUAAAGGCCUACCAAGGCGACGAUCCGUAACUGGUCUGAGAGGAUGAUCAGUCACACUGGAACUGAGACACGGUCCAGACUCCUAAGGGAGGCAGCCGUGGGGAAUAUUGGACAAUGGGCGAAAGCCUGAUCCAGCCAUGCCGCGUGUGUGAAGAAGGUCUUCGGAUUGUAAAGCACUUUAAGUUGGGAGGAAAGGAAGUAAGUUAAUACCUUGCUGUUUUGACGUUACCAACAGAAUAAGCACCGGCUAACUUCGUG
rnacentral:rRNA from 1 species